rnacentral:rRNA from 1 species
CCUACGGGAGGCAGCAGUGGGGAAUAUUGGACAAUGGGGGAAACACUGAAGCAGCGAAGCCGCGUGAGGGAAGAAGUAUCUCGGUAUGUUAACUCCUAUUAGCAGGGAAGAAAAUGACGGUACGUGACUAAGAAGCCCCGUCUAACUACGGGCCAGCUGCCGUGGUAAUAUGUAGGGGGCAAGCGUUAUCCGGAUUUACUGGGUGUAAAGGGAGCGUAGGCGGUGCAGAAAGUCAGAAGUGAAAGCCCGGGGCUCAACUCCGGGACUGCUUUUGAAACUGUUGAACUAGAUUGGAAGAGAGGUAUGUGGAAUGCGUGGUGUAGCGGUGAAAUGCGUAGAUAUUAGGAAGAACACCAGUGGCGAAGGCAGCUUACUGGACUGUAAAUGACGCUGAGGCUCGAAAGCGUGGGGAGCGAACAGGAUUAGAUACCCGUGUAGUC